rnacentral:rRNA from 1 species
UACGUAGGGCGCAAGCGUUGUCCGGAAUUAUUGGGCGUAAAGAGCUCGUAGGCGGUCUGUCGCGUCUGCUGUGAAAUCCCGAGGCUCAACCUCGGGCUUGCAGUGGGUACGGGCAGACUAGAGUGCGGUAGGGGAGAAUGGAAUUCCUGGUGUAGCGGUGGAAUGCGCAGAUAUCAAGGAGGAACACCGAUGGCGAAGGCAGUUCUCUGGGCCGUAACUGACGCUGAGGAGCGAAAGCGUGGGGAGCGAACAGGAUUAGAUACCCUG